rnacentral:rRNA from 1 species
AAAUUGAAGAGUUUGAUCAUGGCUCAGAUUGAACGCUGGCGGCAGGCCUAACACAUGCAAGUCGAACGGUAACAGGAAGCAGCUUGCUGCUUUGCUGACGAGUGGCGGACGGGUGAGUAAUGUCUGGGAAACUGCCUGAUGGAGGGGGAUAACUACUGGAAACGGUGGCUAAUACCGCAUAACGUCGCAAGACCAAAGAGGGGGACCUUCGGGCCUCUUGCCAUCAGAUGUGCCCAGAUGGGAUUAGCUUGUUGGUGAGGUAACGGCUCACCAAGGCGACGAUCCCUAGCUGGUCUGAGAGGAUGACCAGCCACACUGGAACUGAGACACGGUCCAGACUCCUACGGGAGGCAGCAGUGGGGAAUAUUGCACAAUGGGCGCAAGCCUGAUGCAGCCAUGCCGCGUGUAUGAAGAAGGCCUUCGGGUUGUAAAGUACUUUCAGCGGGGAGGAAGGUGUUGUGGUUAAUAACCGCAGCAAUUGACGUUACCCGCAGAAGAAGCACCGGCUAACUCCGUGCCAGCAGCCGCGGUAAUACGGAGGGUGCAAGCGUUAAUCGGAAUUACUGGGCGUAAAGCGCACGCAGGCGGUCUGUCAAGUCGGAUGUGAAAU